GGAGCAUGUGGAUUAAUUCGACGCAACGCGAAGAACCUUACCAGGGCUUGACAUCCCCUGACCACGUAUGAAAGUACGUUUUCUGACUUCGGUUGGACAGGGAGACAGGUGGUGCAUGGUUGUCGUCAGCUCGUGUCGUGAGAUGUUGGGUUAAGUCCCGCAACGAGCGCAACCCCUACGUCUAGUUGCUAACACGUAGUGGUGAGAACUCUAGACGGACUGCCGUUGACAAAACGGAGGAAGGUGGGGAUGACGUCAAAUCAUCAUGCCCCUUAUGUCCUGGGCUACACACGUGCUACAAUGGCCGGUACAAAGGGAAGCGAAGCCGCGAGGCGGAGCAAAUCCGAUAAAAGCCGGUCUCAGUUCGGAUUGCAGGCUGCAAUUCGCCUGCAUGAAGUCGGAAUCGCUAGUAAUCGCAGGUCAGCAUACUGCGGUGAAUACGUUCCCGGGCCUUGCACACACCGCCCGUCACACCACGAAAGCGAGCAACACCCGAAGCCGGUGACUUAACCUGAAAAGGAGAGAGCUGUCGAAGGUGGGGUUGGUGAUUGGGGUGAAGUCGUAACAAGGUAACCAAG
rnacentral:rRNA from 1 species